AACACUUUAUUUUGUAGGUUCAGUGUAACCCCCAACUUUAUGAAUUUGACUAACAAGGUAAAGAAUGUCUUGGAAUGGAAAGUAUGGAAGGAGCUUUGGCAUUAUUCUAUUUCCUAACUAGCCACCAUCGCUUCGACAAAGCUCUAGGGGCCUACCAGAAAGAGAGCCAAGAGAAAGAUACUUUAGAACUUAGUUUAGUUUUCC
rnacentral:lncRNA from 1 species